UAAUACGGAGGGAGCUAGCGUUGUUCGGAAUUACUGGGCGUAAAGCGCACGUAGGCGGCGACUCAAGUCAGAGGUGAAAGCCUGGAGCUCAACUCCAGAACUGCCUUUGAAACUAGGUCGCUAGAAUCUUGGAGAGGCGAGUGGAAUUCCGAGUGUAGAGGUGAAAUUCGUAGAUAUUCGGAAGAACACCAGUGGCGAAGGCGACUCGCUGGACAAGUAUUGACGCUGAGGUGCGAAAGCGUGGGGAGCAAACAGG
rnacentral:rRNA from 1 species